rnacentral:rRNA from 1 species
AUGCCUUACACAUGCAAGUCGAACGGCAGCACGGAGCAAUCCUGGUGGCGAGUGGCGAACGGUGAGUAAUAUAUCGGAACGUGCCCAGUCUGGGGGAUAACGUAGCGAAAGCUACGCUAAUACCGCAUACGAUCUAUGGAUGAAGCGGGGGAUCGCAAGACCUCGCGCGAUUGGAGCGGCCGAUAUCAGAUUAGGUAGUUGGUGAGGUAAAGGCUCACCAAGCCGACGAUCUGUAGCUGGUCUGAGAGGACGACCAGCCACACUGGGACUGAGACACGGCCCAGACUCCUACGGGAGGCAGCAGUGGGGAAUUUUGGACAAUGGGCGCAAGCCUGAUCCAGCAAUGCCGCGUGCAGGAUGAAGGCCUUCGGGUUGUAAACUGCUUUUGUACGGAACGAAACGGUGAGCUCUAAUACAGUUUGCUAAUGACGGUACCGUAAGAAUAAGCACCGGCUAACUACGUG